AUACGUAGGUGGCGAGCGUUGUCCGGAAUUACUGGGUGUAAAGGGCGUGCAGGCGGGGAUAUAAGUCAGAUGUGAAAUACCGCAGCUUAACUGCGGGGCUGCAACUGAAACUAUAUUUCUUGAGUGCUGGAGAGGAAAGCGGAAUUCCCAGUGUAGCGGUGAAAUGCGUAGAGAUUGGGAGGAACACCAGUGGCGAAGGCGGCUUUCUGGACAGUAACUGACGCCGAGGCGCGAAAGCGUGGGGAGCAAACAGGAUUAGAUACCCUGGUAGUCCACGCCGUAAACGAUGGAUACUAGGUGUAGGAGGUAUCGACCCCUUCUGUGCCGGAGUUAACACAAUAAGUAACCCACCUGGGGAGUACGGCCGCAAGGUUGAA
rnacentral:rRNA from 1 species